CCCUGGUAGUCCACGCCGUAAACGUUGGGAACUAGAUGUGGGGACCAUUCCACGGUCUCCGUGUCGCAGCUAACGCAUUAAGUUCCCCGCCUGGGGAGUACGGCCGCAAGGCUAAAACUCAAAGGAAUUGACGGGGGCCCGCACAAGCGGCGGAGCAUGCGGAUUAAUUCGAUGCAACGCGAAGAACCUUACCAAGGCUUGACAUAUACCGGAAACGGCCAGAGAUGGUCGCCCCGCAAGGUCGGUAUACAGGUGGUGCAUGGUUGUCGUCAGCUCGUGUCGUGAGAUGUUGGGUUAAGUCCCGCAACGAGCGCAACCCUCGUUCUAUGUUGCCAGCACGUUAUGGUGGGAACUCAUAGGAGACUGCCGGGGUCAACUCGGAGGAAGGUGGGGAUGACGUCAAAUCAUCAUGCCCCUUAUGUCUUGGGCUUCACGCAUGCUACAAUGGCCGGUACAAAGGGCUGCGAUACCGUAAGGUGGAGCGAAUCCCAAAAAGCCGGUCUCAGUUCGGAUUGGGGUCUGCAACUCGACCCCAUGAAGUCGGAGUCGCUAGUAAUCGCAGAUCAGCAACGCUGCGGUGAAUACGUUCCCGGGCCUUGUACACACCGCCCGUCAAGUCAUGAAAGUCGGUAACACCCGAAGCCAGUGGCCUAACCCCUUGUGGGAUGGAGCUGUCGAAGGUGGGAUCGGUGAUUAGGACUAAGU
rnacentral:rRNA from 1 species